GAGCCCAAACCAACAAGCUUGCUUGUUGGGGUUGUAGGACACUCUAUACGGAGUUACAAAGGACGACAUUAGACGAAUCAUCUGGAAAGAUGAAUCAAAGAAGGUAAUAAUCCUGUAGUCGAAAAUGUUGUCUCUCUUGAGUGGAUCCUGAGUACGACGGAGCACGUGAAAUUCCGUCGGAAUCUGGGAGGACCAUCUCCUAAGGCUAAAUACUCUCUAGUGACCGAUAGUGAACCAGUACCGUGAGGGAAAGGUGAAAAGCACCCCGGAAGGGGAGUGAAAUAGAACCUGAAACCGUGUGCUUACAAGUAGUCAGAGCCCGUUAAUGGGUGAUGGCGUGCCUUUUGUAGAAUGAACCGGCGAGUUACGAUUUGAUGCAAGGUUAAGCAGUAAAUGUGGAGCCGUAGCGAAAGCGAGUCUGAAUAGGGCGUUUAGUAUUUGGUCGUAGACCCGAAACCAGGUGAUCUACCCUUGGUCAGGUUGAAGUUCAGGUAACACUGAAUGGAGGACCGAACCGACUUACGUUGAAAAGUGAGCGGAUGAACUGAGGGUAGCGGAGAAAUUCCAAUCGAACCUGGAGAUAGCUGGUUCUCUCCGAAAUAGCUUUAGGGCUAGCCUCAAGUGAUGAUUAUUGGAGGUAGAGCACUGUUUGGACGAGGGGCCCCUCUCGGGUUACCGAAUUCAGACAAACUCCGAAUGCCAAUUAAUUUAACUUGGGAGUCAGAACAUGGGUGAUAAGGUCCGUGUUCGAAAGGGAAACAGCCCAGACCACCAGCUAAGGUCCCAAAAUAUAUGUUAAGUGGAAAAGGAUGUGGCGUUGCCCAGACAACUAGGAUGUUGGCUUAGAAGCAGCCAUCAUUUAAAGAGUGCGUAAUAGCUCACUAGUCGAGUGACACUGCGCCGAAAAUGUACCGGGGCUAAACAUAUUACCGAAGCUGUGGAUUGUCCUUUGGACAAUGGUAGGAGAGCGUUCUAAGGGCGUUGAAGCAUGAUCGUAAGGACAUGUGGAGCGCUUAGAAGUGAGAAUGCCGGUGUGAGUAGCGAAAGACGGGUGAGAAUCCCGUCCACCGAUUGACUAAGGUUUCCAGAGGAAGGCUCGUCCGCUCUGGGUUAGUCGGGUCCUAAGCUGAGGCCGACAGGCGUAGGCGAUGGAUAACAGGUUGAUAUUCCUGUACCACCUAUAAUCGUUUUA
rnacentral:rRNA from 1 species